ACAAUGAAGAGUUUGAUCCUGGCUCAGGAUGAACGCUAGCUACAGGCUUAACACAUGCAAGUCGAGGGGCAUCAGGAAGAAAGCUUGCUUUCUUUGCUGGCGACCGGCGCACGGGUGAGUAACACGUAUCCAACCUGCCCUUUACUCGGGGAUAGCCUUUCGAAAGAAAGAUUAAUACCCGAUAGUAUAAUGAUUCCGCAUGGUUUCCUUAUUAAAGGAUUCCGGUAAAGGAUGGGGAUGCGUUCCAUUAGGUUGUUGGUGAGGUAACGGCCCACCAAGCCUUCGAUGGAUAGGGGUUCUGAGAGGAAGGUCCCCCACAUUGGAACUGAGACACGGUCCAAACUCCUACGGGAGGCAGCAGUGAGGAAUAUUGGUCAAUGGGCGCUAGCCUGAACCAGCCAAGUAGCGUGAAGGAUGAAGGCUCUAUGGGUCGUAAACUUCUUUUAUAUAAGAAUAAAGUGCAGUAUGUAUACUGUUUUGUAUGUAUUAUAUGAAUAAGGAUCGGCUAACUCCGUGCCAGCAGCCGCGGUAAUACGGAGGAUCCGAGCGUUAUCCGGAUUUAUUGGGUUUAAAGGGAGCGUAGGUGGACUGGUAAGUCAGUUGUGAAAGUUUGCGGCUCAACCGUAAAAUUGCAGUUGAUACUGUCAGUCUUGAGUACAGUAGAGGUGGGCGGAAUUCGUGGUGUAGCGGUGAAAUGCUUAGAUAUCACGAAGAACUCCGAUUGCGAAGGCAGCUCACUGGACUGCAACUGACACUGAUGCUCGAAAGUGUGGGUAUCAAACAGGAUUAGAUACCCUGGUAGUCCACACAGUAAACGAUGAAUACUCGCUGUUUGCGAUAUACAGUAAGCGGCCAAGCGAAAGCAUUAAGUAUUCCACCUGGGGAGUACGCCGGCAACGGUGAAACUCAAAGGAAUUGACGGGGGCCCGCACAAGCGGAGGAACAUGUGGUUUAAUUCGAUGAUACGCGAGGAACCUUACCCGGGCUUAAAUUGCAGUGGAAUGAUGUGGAAACAUAUCAGUGAGCAAUCACCGCUGUGAAGGUGCUGCAUGGUUGUCGUCAGCUCGUGCCGUGAGGUGUCGGCUUAAGUGCCAUAACGAGCGCAACCCUUAUCUUUAGUUACUAACAGGUUAUGCUGAGGACUCUAGAGAGACUGCCGUCGUAAGAUGUGAGGAAGGUGGGGAUGACGUCAAAUCAGCACGGCCCUUACGUCCGGGGCUACACACGUGUUACAAUGGGGGGUACAGAAGGCAGCUAGCGGGUGACCGUAUGCUAAUCCCAAAAGCCUCUCUCAGUUCGGAUCGAAGUCUGCAACCCGACUUCGUGAAGCUGGAUUCGCUAGUAAUCGCGCAUCAGCCACGGCGCGGUGAAUACGUUCCCGGGCCUUGUACACACCGCCCGUCAAGCCAUGGGAGCCGGGGGUACCUGAAGUACGUAACCGCAAGGAUCGUCCUAGGGUAAAACUGGUGACUGGGGCUAAGUCGUAACAAGGUAGCCGUACCGGAAGGUGCGGCUGGAACACCUCCUUU
rnacentral:rRNA from 1 species